rnacentral:piRNA from 1 species
GUAGACAGCAAAUUAAACACUGA